UACGGUAGGGUGCGAGCGUUAAUCGGAAUUACUGGGCGUAAAGCGUGCGCAGGCGGUUUUGUAAGCCAGAUGUGAAAUCCCCGGGCUUAACCUGGGAAUGGCAUUUGGGACUGCAAGGCUUGAGUGCGGCAGAGGAGACUGGAAUUCCUGGUGUAGCAGUGAAAUGCGUAGAUAUCAGGAGGAACACCGAUGGCGAAGGCAGGUCUCUGGGCUGACACUGACGCUCAUGCACGAAAGCGUGGGGAGCAAACAGG
rnacentral:rRNA from 1 species